UGUUUUGUGGUGUUAUUGAUUAACGCGCCCUAUCUAGUGAACUUGGGGAGACGUGAGUUCAAAUCCCAUCAGAACUA
rnacentral:tRNA from 1 species